rnacentral:rRNA from 1 species
AGCAGCCGCGGUAAUUCCAGCUCCAAUAGCGUAUAUUAAAGUUGUUGCAGUUAAAAAGCUCGUAGUUGAACUUCGGGAUUUGCCCAUUGGUCAGGCUUAACUGUCUGCACUGGUGUGACGAGUUCCUACCUUCUGAGGAAUCUCCAUGUCAUUCAGUUGGUGUGGGGGGAAAUCAGGACUGUUACUUUAGAAAAAAUUAGAGUGUUUAAAGCAGGCGUCCGUCUGAAUACAUUAGCAUGGAAUAAUAAAAUAGGACGGUUUGGUUCUAUUUUGUUGGUUUCUAGGAUCACCGUAAUGAUUAAUAGGGAUAGUUGGGGGCAUUAGUAUUCAAUUGUCAGAGGUGAAAUUCUUGGAUUUAUUGAAGACUAACUACUGACGAAAGCAUUUGCCAAGGAUGUUUUCAUUAAUCAAGAACGAAAGUUAGGGGAUCGAAGACGAUCAGAUACCGUCGUAGUCUUAACCAUAAACUAUGCCGACUAGGGA